GCCAGACUCCUACGGGAGGCAGCAGUGGGGAAUAUUGCACAAUGGGGGAAACCCUGAUGCAGCGACGCCGCGUGAGUGAAGAAGUAUUUCGGUAUGUAAAGCUCUAUCAGCAGGAACGAGACAAGACGGUACCUGACUAAGAAGCCCCGGCUAACUACGUGCCAGCAGCCGCGGUAAUACGUAGGGGGCAAGCGUUAUCCGGAAUCACUGGGUGUAAAGGGAGCGUAGACGGCUGUGCAAGCCUGAAGUGAAAGGCGGGGGCCCAACCCCUGGACUGCUUUGGGAACUGUACGGCUGGAGUGCAGGAGAGGUAAGUGGAAUUCCUAGUGUAGCGGUGAAAUGCGUAGAUAUUAGGAGGAACACCAGUGGCGAAGGCGGCUUACUGGACUGUAACUGACGUUGAGGCUCGAAAGCGUGGGGAGCAAACAGGAUUAGAUACCCUAGUAC
rnacentral:rRNA from 1 species